UUUUUUUUUUUUUUUUUGCCUGUGCGGUUUGAGAGAGGCACAGUUGGAGGCGCUGAUUCCUACAAAAGUCCCCAGAGCCAGCGAGCGGCACGAUGCUGCGGAGGCUGGUUCAGCAGUGGAGCGUCCUGGUGUUCCUGCUCAGCUACUCCGUGCCCUCCCGCGGGCGCUCGGUGGAGGGGCUUGGUCGCAGGCUGUAAGUCUUCACAGGACGCAUUGAAACUUUCACCGAAGAUCUUCCAAGGACACGUUACAGGAUUCUGUAAUAGUAAACAUAUGGAAAGUAUUAGACAUAUUUAUUGCCUGUACAUACUGUAAAUGCAUUGGGAUCAAACUGUCUCCCCAGGAAACUGCACAUGGGUCAUGUGAAUAUUUUUCCUUCUUUUUUUUUUUUGCCAAGGCUAAUCCAAUUAUUACUGUCACUGUUACCAUAAUUUAUUUUGUCAACUGAUGUAUUUAUUUGUAAAUGUAUCUUGGUGCUGCUGACUCUGUUUUUUUGUAACAUAAUGCACUUUAGGUAUACAUAUCAAGUAUGUCGAUGAAUUUAACACGAAAAAGUGUCUCUAUUUUGUGGUUCAUUUUGAUGAGUUCUGAAAUAUAAUUAUCUAGACUGAUCUCCCUCUGCGCAUGUAAAAAUGGCAGUAUUUUAAAUUUGUAAAGAAUGUCUAAUAAAAUAUAAUCUAAUUACACCGUGACUU
rnacentral:lncRNA from 1 species